UAGUUCAAAUAACAAUAUCUAUGGACAU
rnacentral:piRNA from 1 species